UCUGCAACUCGACUACAUGAAGCUGGAAUCGCUAGUAAUCGCAGAUCAGAAUGCUGCGGUGAAUACGUUCCCGGGUCUUGUACACACCGCCCGUCACACCAUGGGAGUCGGAAAUGCCCGAAUCCGGUGACCCAACCAAAAGGAGGGAGCCGUCGAAGGCAGGUCUGAUAACUGGGGUGAAGUCGUAACAAGGUAGC
rnacentral:rRNA from 1 species